GGAGGCGUAGCUCAGCUGGUUAGAGCGCAUGCUUCACACGCAUGAGGUCGAUGGUUCGAGCCCAUUCGUCUCCACCA
rnacentral:tRNA from 2 species